AUCCGGAUGAUGAGUCGGAAACAAGGCGAAAUGUACAUCCCAGAU
rnacentral:hammerhead_ribozyme from 1 species